UGGGGAAUAUUGCACAAUGGGCGCAAGCCUGAUGCAGCCAUGCCGCGUGUGUGAAGAAGGCCUUCGGGUUGUAAAGCACUUUCAGCGAGGAGGAAGGUGGUGAACUUAAUACGUUCAUCAAUUGACGUUACUCGCAGAAGAAGCACCGGCUAACUCCGUGCCAGCAGCCGCGGUAAUACGGAGGGUGCAAGCGUUAAUCGGAAUUACUGGGCGUAAAAGCGCACGCAGGCGGUUUGUUAAGUCAGAUGUGAAAUCCCCGGGCUCAACCUGGGAACUGCAUUUGAAACUGGCAAGCUAGAGUCUCGUAGAGGGGGGUAGAAUUCCAGGUGUAGCGGUGAAAUGCGUAGAGAUCUGGAGGAAUACCGGUGGCGAAGGCGGCCCCCUGGACGAAGACUGACGCUCAGGUGCGAAAAGCGUGGGGAGCAAAACAGGAUUAGAUACCCUGGUAGUCCACGCUGUAAAACGAUGUCGAUUUUGGAGGUUGUGCCCUUGAGGCGU
rnacentral:rRNA from 1 species